AUUGAACGCUGGCGGCAGGCCUAACACAUGCAAGUCGAGCGGGGUUUUCGGACCUAGCGGCGGACGGGUGAGUAAUGCGUAGGAAGCUACCCGACAGAGGGGGAUACCAGUUGGAAACGACUGUUAAUACCGCAUAAUGUCUACGGACCAAAGUGUGGGACCUUCGGGCCACAUGCUGUCGGAUGCGCCUACGUGGGAUUAGCUAGUUGGUGAGGUAAUGGCUCACCAAGGCGACGAUCCCUAGCUGGUUUGAGAGGAUGAUCAGCCACACUGGGACUGAGACACGGCCCAGACUCCUACGGGAGGCAGCAGUGGGGAAUUUUGGACAAUGGGCGCAAGCCUGAUCCAGCAAUGCCGCGUGAGUGAUGAAGG
rnacentral:rRNA from 1 species